GCAAGUCUGGUGCCAGCAGCCGCGCGAAGGAUGUCUUGGUUCCGGCAACGAUGAAGAACGCAGCGAAAUGCGAUACGUAAUGCGAAUUGCAGAAUUCAGUGAAUCAUCA
rnacentral:rRNA from 1 species